rnacentral:rRNA from 1 species
GUGCCAGCCGCCGCGGUAAUACCAGCACCCCGAGUGGUCGGGACGAUUAUUGGGCCUAAAGCAUCCGUAGCCGGUUUUACAAGUCCUCCGUUAAAUCCAACUGCUUAACAGAUGGGCCGCGGAGGAUACUAUAAGACUAGGAGGCAGGAGAGGCAAGCGGUACUCAGUGGGUAGGGGUAAAAUCCGUUGAUCCAUUGAAGACCACCAGUGGCGAAGGCGGCUUGCCAGAAUGCGCUCGACGGUGAGGGAUGAAAGCAGGGGGGGCAAACCGGAUUAGAUACCCGGGUAGUCCCAGCUGUAAACGAUGCAGACUCGGUGAUGGACUAGCUUCAUGCUAGUCCAGUGCCGCAGGGAAGCCGUUAAGUCUGCCGCCUGGGUAGUACGGUCGCAAGACUGAAACUUAAAUGAAUUGGCGGGG